GAUGAACGCUGGCGGCGUGCCUAAUACAUGCAAGUCGAGCGGACGGACGAGAAGCUUGCUUUUCUGAUGUUAGCGGCGGACGGGUGAGUAACACGUGGAUAACCUACCUAUAAGACUGGGAUAACUUCGGGAAACCGGAGCUAAUACCGGAUAAUAUUUUGAACCGCAUGGUUCAAAAGUGAAAGACGGUCUUGCUGUCACUUAUAGAUGGAUCCGCGCUGCAUUAGCUAGUUGGUAAGGUAACGGCUUACCAAGGCAACGAUGCAUAGCCGACCUGAGAGGGUGAUCGGCCACACUGGAACUGAGACACGGUCCAGACUCCUACGGGAGGCAGCAGUAGGGAAUCUUCCGCAAUGGGCGAAAGCCUGACGGAGCAACGCCGCGUGAGUGAUGAAGGUCUUCGGAUCGUAAAACUCUGUUAUUAGGGAAGAACAUAUGUGUAAGUAACUGUGCACAUCUUGACGGUACCUAAUCAGAAAGCCACGGCCAACUACGUG
rnacentral:rRNA from 1 species